GACGAACGCUGGCGGCGUGCCUAAUACAUGCAAGUCGUGCGAGGCUCUUCGGAGUCGAGCGGCGGACGGGUGAGUAACACGUGGGCAAUCUGCCUGGUCGACCGGGAUAACGCUUGGAAACGAGUGCUAAUACCGGAUACGCUCUUGAACCGCAUGGUUCGAGAGGGAAAGCUGCUUUUGCAGCACGAUCAGAUGAGCCCGCGGCGCAUUAGCUAGUUGGUGAGGUAACGGCUCACCAAGGCGACGAUGCGUAGCCGACCUGAGAGGGUGACCGGCCACACUGGGACUGAGACACGGCCCAGACUCCUACGGGAGGCAGCAGUAGGGAAUCUUCCGCAAUGGGCGGAAGCCUGACGCAGCAACGCCGCGUGA
rnacentral:rRNA from 1 species